rnacentral:sRNA from 1 species
GCAGGGCCUUGCCGAACCGGGUGCCCUCCUCGUCCGAGAACGCGGUGACCU